rnacentral:misc_RNA from 1 species
GAUGAAGAACGCAGCGAAAUGCGAUAAGUAAUGUGAAUUGCAGAAUUCAGUGAAUCAUCGAAUCUUUGAACGCACAUUGCGCCCCUUGGUAUUCCGAGGGGCAUGCCUGCUCGAGCGUCAUUAUAACCCCUCAAGCUCAGCUUGGUGUUGGGGCCUGCUGCACUGGCAGCCCUUAAAAUCAGUGGCGGCGCCAUCUGGCUCUAAGCGUAGUAAUUCUUCUCGCUAUGGAGUCCUGGUGGAUGCUUGCCAUCAACCCCCAAUUUUUCUAUGGUUGACCUCGGAUCAGGUAGGGAUACCCGCUGAACUUAAGCAUAUCAAUAAGCGGAGG